GAGAAUCCCAGGCGGGCUCCGGCACUCUCCCUGGAUCGACCGACCACCUUUCUAUCUCGUCCCAUGUUGUCACCUCCUCCAGAUAGCGCUGCUCCUUAACACGCUGCUUGGUCCUUUGGUGGUGGGUGAUUCUGUAACGCUCGUCAUUGGAAUGAGGUGAGGACCAAAGCGCAGCGUGGAAAUCUGCCGUUACAUGAUCACCUUCACCUGAGAGAAACAUUGGGAGUGUUCUGUUUCCAUUUGUUUUGAGUCAAAUCUCACCUGAUUGGGUCUGCUGGAUGAUUAGGACUUCUCCCUAAGGAUUAGCCCUCUAACUUCCCGACUCUGCGAUGAGGUCGACAGUGUGAUAGGGAAGUAUAAGCCAAUUAGAAUUUUUUUUUUUUUUAAUUUCUCUUAGAAAUUUGUAUUAGGAACAUUGGUAGUAGUAAUAAUGUGUCAUACAGUAAAUAAUUUGUCUGGAUUUCUUGAAAUGCCUUAACAAAAUUGUUGUUCUGAUCUGUCCUUUCUCG
ensembl:lncRNA